GAUGAACGCUGGCGGCGUGCUUAACACAUGCAAGUCGAACGGAAAGGCCCCUGCUUGCAGGGGUACUCGAGUGGCGAACGGGUGAGUAACACGUGGGUGACCUGCCCUUCACUUCGGGAUAAGCCCGGGAAACUGGGUCUAAUACCGGAUAGGACGAUGGUCUGGAUGCCAUUGUGGAAAGUUUUUCGGUGGGGGAUGAGCUCGCGGCCUAUCAGCUUGUUGGUGGGGUAAUGGCUUACCAAGGCGUCGACGGGUAGCCGGCCUGAGAGGGUGGACGGCCACAUUGGGACUGAGAUACGGCCCAGACUCCUACGGGAGGCAGCAGUGGGGAAUAUUGCACAAUGGGCGCAAGCCUGAUGCAGCGACGCCGCGUGGGGGAUGACGGCCUUCGGGUUGUAAACCCCUUUCGCUAGGGACGAAGCGUAAGUGACGGUACCUGGAGAAGAAGCACCGGCUAACUACGUG
rnacentral:rRNA from 1 species